rnacentral:rRNA from 1 species
AACGGAUAUCUCGGCUCUCGCAUCGAUGAAGAACGUAGCGAAAUGCGAUACUUGGUGUGAAUUGCAGAAUCCCGUGAACCAUCGAGUCUUUGAACGCAAGUUGCGCCCGAAGCCUUUAGGCCGAGGGCACGCCUGCCUGGGCGUCACACGCCGUUGUCCCCCCGCG